CAUGCAGUCGAACGAUGAACCACUUCGGUGGGGAUUAGUGGCGAACGGGUGAGUAACACGUGGGCAAUCUGCCCUUCACUCUGGGACAAGCCCUGGAAACGGGGUCUAAUACCGGAUACCACUACCACGGGCAUCUGUGGUGGUUGAAAGCUCCGGCGGUGAAGGAUGAGCCCGCGGCCUAUCAGCUUGUUGGUGAGGUAAUGGCUCACCAAGGCGACGACGGGUAGCCGGCCUGAGAGGGCGACCGGCCACACUGGGACUGAGACACGGCCCAGACUCCUACGGGAGGCAGCAGUGGGGAAUAUUGCACAAUGGGCGAAAGCCUGAUGCAGCGACGCCGCGUGAGGGAUGACGGCCUUCGGGUUGUAAACCUCUUUCAGCAGGGAAGAAGCGAAAGUGACGGUACCUGCAGAAGAAGCGCCGGCUAACUACGUGCCAGCAGCCGCGGUAAUACGUAGGGCGCAAGCGUUGUCCGGAAUUAUUGGGCGUAAAGAGCUCGUAGGCGGCUUGUCACGUCGGGUGUGAAAGCCCGGGGCUUAACCCCGGGUCUGCAUUCGAUACGGGCUAGCUAGAGUGUGGUAGGGGAGAUCGGAAUUCCUGGUGUAGCGGUGAAAUGCGCAGAUAUCAGGAGGAACACCGGUGGCGAAGGCGGAUCUCUGGGCCAUUACUGACGCUGAGGAGCGAAAGCGUGGGGAGCGAACAGGAUUAGAUACCCUGGUAGUCCACGC
rnacentral:rRNA from 1 species